rnacentral:tRNA from 1 species
AGCUCGGUGGUAUAGCAGUCAAGACGCUUGUCUGGUAAAUAGGUGGUCACGGGUUCAAUCCCAACCAAGCUG